CUGUGCUGAAGGACGGUGCUACUCAGGCUGCUCUGUGAUUUUGGGUCAUUUUUUUUAUAAUCGGGAAAAUUCGGCCGGAGUUUGAUUUAUUUGAGACAUUUUUGAGUUUUAUUUUCUUUGUCAUCUGAGGGGGAUACACUUGAGGGACACCCAAUCCAGCCCCCUCGCUGAGCACGCCGGACCCCCUCUCCCCCCCCUACCACCUCUCCCCCCCUCUACACCCUUCCCCUUCUGCAUCUCCCCCUACAAGAUAAGAUGCUUCGUUCGCCAGCAUCCCUUCUCGGGCGCGUCUUGACCCGGUCGCGCCCUCUGCUCGGGUCAAAGGUCGUGGCGCCGUCGAAGAGGAGUGUGGUGACGUCAGGCUACGAGAUCCAUUCGCCGUUCCCUGACGUCGACCCAACGAGUGAUGUCUUGAGCCUGACGAUGGAGACGGCCAGGAAGUUCGGACAUCACACGGCGGUGGUGAGUGUGGGGAGGGG